UAAAGAUGCACAAAUAUUAUGACUUGAUUUAAAAUAAGCCAUUCUUACAUAAAAAGAUACUGAUAAAGUUAAAUCCAAAGACAUUUAAAGCAAAGCCAAUUACACACAAUAAGAACAAGAUAAAGGAAACAGAUGAGAGGACAUGAAUGCAAACUGAACUUACAACAGAGAGUAUCCGCCAAGUUGAUGAUUGGCUCUUUGAGAAGACACAAUGUUAGUACACCCCUAAAAAGAUGAGUCACAAAACAUAGGGCACCAGUAACCACCACCAGGAGUGAAGAGGGAUUGUAAACAUGUUAUAAAUAUCAUAUUAUAAAAAAAGCUAGUUGAAAGGUUUAAUGUUUAGAUAAAAUGAACAAAUUGCUAGAAAACCAUAAUUUACUAAACAGGACAUAAAGAAGUAGAACAUCUGAUAACUCAAAUAAAUCAAAUACAUAUUUUUAAGCAUUUUUGGCCCAUAUGGCAUUGCUGAUGAAUUCUAGCAAACACUAAGGGGAUAAAUAAACACCAACUCUAUACAAACUCUUCUAAAACAUUGCACAGGGAAAAAUCUUGCACCUUUUUGAGGCUAAGUUCUGUAUAGAAAUCGAACAAGGAUAUUAUAAGAAAGGAAAAUUAUGGGCUAACAUAUUCCUUGAGAAUAGAUGCAAAAAUCCUAAGGGACACGUUUCUGAACAGAACGCAGCAAUAUAUAAGAAUAACACUACAUGAUGCCCAAGCGGGACUUAUUUUGUAUGUGCAGGGCUGGCUUAAUACUCCAAAAUCUACUAAUGAAAUUCACUUUAUUAAUGGUUCACAGGAAGGUCUCCACAGAUGCAGAAAAGGCAUUUGACACGCCAAUUCAUUUGAGAUAAAUAAGAAAAUCAGGCAUAGAAUGGAAUGUUUCUAAAACAUGUGUGUACUCUUUCUUCCAUUCAUCAGUAAGAUAAAGCCAAACAAACAACAAACAAAUACAGUAGAAGACUGGAAAUGAAGUAAAACUUCUGUAUUAACUGAUGAUACUUGUGGUCAGCCCAGGGGAAGGCUAGAGGGGGCUACUAGGAGGCCCUAGGGGGCUAGCAGCACUCUGUCCUCAUCCAGGGGUGGUUGCCCAGACACAUGCUUUGUGUUAAACCAAAAAAAA
rnacentral:lncRNA from 1 species